AAAACGUUGGUGUUUGUAUUGGAAAACCAACUUUUAAAUAUUUAAUAGAAAAAUGCUGAGGUGGUGCGAUUAUGACCUUUGGAUAUCUAGUUAAUGGACAUAAUUAAAAGUUAAGGAUACACAAGGAUAUGUGUCAAACAAGGAGAGGAUCCUUUUCCGUCUCACUGACCCAUAAACUGAACCAGGAUAUGUAAUUUGCUAAUAAUAUAAUUAAUAAACAACAGGCACUAAUCUUCAAAAAAAAAAAACAAACAGGCGCUAAUUCUUUGUACAUCAAUAUAUGGCUGUGAAUUGCCGAGUUCCACAUACAUGAUAAGCUAUGAGGCCCGGGAUCAGAUGAAGAAUUUAUAGAAUAAGAUAUGCAUGUUAUAAGACAAGUGUUCCACUUAGGCAGUAACAAGGCUAUGGAUGAACUUUGGGAACGGAAAACUAGUUGAUUAGCUAGGUUGAAGCUUAUAUUAGUUAAUUAAUCUGUACACCAUGACCAGAGCUUACAGAUGGUUUUUUCACCCUUGUUCUUAACUCUCUCGCUGUACUUGAGCUCGUGCCCUCAUCUUCCUGCAGCAUUAGCAAAGUUAAUGAUAUCUAUUGGAAGGCCAAACCUGAAAACCAAAGUACUUAUGAUGGACCUGAAAAUAUUAUUCCCACUAGCCCUGAACACUGUUAAAAGGAAGAGGGUGAAUUCUUACUCUGCAUUUCAUUUCUCGUUCAAUCACAGGAGGAGGAGGAGGAUCAGACAUUAAAACUAUAUGAUCGUAUUGAACGGUGGAGUAGUCAUCGAGUCCCAGACAGUUGAUGCAAGGCUUGAUGAGUUUCUCAAAGAAAUGGUAGAACCUGUGUCGUUCUUCUCUGUGCUGAUCCUGAACUUCAGCUGAUGAUGAUGAUGAAGCUUUCAUAUUGUAGAACUUGCUCGAUCUGCCUUGUACUCUUUGACAGGUUUGCAGCUACUAAUUCUCAGGUGUGAUAUAUUGCAUUGUUGUUUGAUGUUUUGAUCGGUGGUCUGGUAGUGCAGUGGUUAUUUAAGAGACACCUGCCAUAUAUGCCACCGUGGUAAUGCACUUCGAGACUAAUUUUAUUUUUCAUUCUCUGUUGAUUUGUUUUUUUUUUUUAUUGAUGCCACGUAAUAAGCUACGUCGGUUAUGUUGACAAGUUAGUAAGACUCAAAGUUCGUUGUAUUACGAUAGUAUAAAACGAAAUUAGUCCCUUGACGCAUGCGAAUUUAAAGACCUCUUAAGCCACAAACUAGUGAGAGUCGGUACUCAAAAAGUG
rnacentral:lncRNA from 1 species